rnacentral:rRNA from 1 species
UACGUAGGGAGCAAGCGUUGUCCGGAAUCAUUGGGCGUAAAGCGCGCGUAGGCGGCCCGAUAAGUCCGCUGUGAAAGUCAACGGCUCAACUGUUGGAUGCCGGUGGAUACUGUCGGGCUAGAGUCCGGAAGAGGCGAGUGGAAUUCCUGGUGUAGCGGUGAAAUGCGCAGAUAUCAGGAGGAACACCAAUGGCGAAGGCAGCUCGCUGGGACGGUACUGACGCUGGAGGCGCGAAAGCGUGGGGAGCAAAACAGG